AAUGAUCUUCAGGGCAGGGUGAAAUUCCCUACCGGCGGUAUAGCCCGCGAGCCUUUUUAGGUAUGAUCCGGUUUGAUUCCGGAGCCGACAGUAAAGUCUGGAUGAAAGAAGAUAUAU
rnacentral:ncRNA from 21 species